CGCGUAGGCGGCCUGGUAAGUCAGAUGUGAAAGCCCGGGGCUUAACCCCGGAAGUGCAUUUGAUACUGUCAGGCUUGAGUAUGGGAGAGGGAAGUGGAAUUCCUGGUGUAGAGGUGAAAUUCGUAGAUAUCAGGAGGAACACCGGUGGCGAAGGCGACUUCCUGGACCAAUACUGACGCUGAGGCGCGAAGGCGUGGGGAGCAAACAGGAUUAGAUACCUGGUAGUCC
rnacentral:rRNA from 1 species